rnacentral:rRNA from 1 species
AAUAAACGUUGGCGGCGUGCUUAACACAUGCAAGUCGAGCGAGAAAGGCCUUCGGGCUGAGUACAGCGGCAAACGGGUGCGUAACACGUAGGAAUCUGCCUUUCAGUGAAGAAUACCCUCGAGAAAUCGAGGUUAAUGCUGCAUACGUCUCGCAAGAGAGAAAGAUGGCCUCUUUGCUGUCGCUGAAAGAUGAGCCUGCGGACUAUUAGUUAGUUGGUGGGGUAAUGGCCUACCAAGACGAUGAUGGUUAGCCGGCCUGAGAGGGUGUACGGCCACACUGGAACUUAGACACGGUCCAGACUCCUACGGGAGGCAGCAGUGAGGAAUAUUGCGCAAUGGGCGAAAGCCUGACGCAGCGACGCCGCGUGGAGGAUGAAGGUCUUAGGAUUGUAAACUUCUGUUAAGUGGGAAGAAAGAUGGAAUGUUAAUACCAUUCUGUGAUGACGGUACCACUAAAGAAAGCACCGGCUAACUUCG